UUAAAAUAAUUCAUUUUUUGACUGUGUUUGGUUUUUUUAAAACAAUUCAUUUUUUCUCUCAGAUGCCUCUACCUCCUCCACCAGCAGUUCCACCACAGCCUCACCCAAAAUAAGUAGUUCAUCCAGAUUUGCGGGUGUAUCUAUCUGCACUAUAUAAGCAAGAUAUACAGUUGAGGAUUUGCUUACCAAGUCUAAACGGAAAGGUUUGAACAUUUUGGACUCUGAUAAACCGUCAGGUUUGGGGCCAAAAACGUGUUUCCCGGAACAUUUCAGAGACGAUCAAGGGAUAUUACAAUGGGGCUUAUCCGAACUGGAACAUGACUCCAGAUCACGUUAAAACGACUGGAUUUAAAUGUUUUGCGUAAAAAUGACACUGAUCCUUAGGAAUCACUGAGGGAAUGAAGAGGGAAUUUCAUGCAAAAGCGAAGAUCCGCCUUUACAACACCGUCCGAGAUUAGAAGGACAAGUGGGAGAUCUACAAUUAUGACGGGAAGUCUACGGAGGUCACUCAAGAUAUAUGGGAUGAACUCAUCGCCUAUUAGAAGCUACCCUCCUCGAUCCAAAAGGCCAACACGUGCUCCGCUUCCUGAAGAAUGAAGGAUAAGAUGGUCAUUUGCCUAUGCUUCAUAGAACUGGACAAAAACUCCAUGCCGGAAUUCAUUUAGAAGUUGUAAAUUUUAGUUGUAAUAUUUAUUUUAUAAUUCAUUUAAGCUUAUAUUUAUUACUGAAAUUUAAUUUUAAUCUUCAAUUUUAUUUAUUAUUCAUGUUUGUAGUUAGAAAAGACGAAAGUUUUGCCAUCUCUAUCUGAUUUCUUCAAGAUGAU